rnacentral:rRNA from 1 species
GAUGAACGCUGGCGGCGUGCUUAACACAUGCAAGUCGAACGGUGAACGAGGGAGCUUGCUCCCUCCGGAUCAGUGGCGAACGGGUGAGUAACACGUGAGUAACCUGCCCUUGACUCUGGGAUAAGCGUUGGAAACGACGUCUAAUACCGGAUACGACACGCGAAGGCAUCUUCUGCGCGUGGAAAGAAUUUCGGUCAAGGAUGGACUCGCGGCCUAUCAGCUAGUUGGUGGGGUAACGGCUCACCAAGGCGACGACGGGUAGCCGGCCUGAGAGGGUGACCGGCCACACUGGGCCUGAGACACGGCCCAGACUCCUACGGGAGGCAGCAGUGGGGAAUAUUGCACAAUGGGCGCAAGCCUGAUGCAGCAACGCCGCGUGAGGGACGACGGCCUUCGGGUUGUAAACCUCUUUUAGUAGGGAAGAAGCGAAAGUGACGGUACCUGCAGAAAAAGCACCGGCUAACUACGUGCCAGCCGCCGCGGUAACAC